rnacentral:rRNA from 1 species
AGAUUGAACGCUGGCGGCAUGCCUUACACAUGCAAGUCGAACGGCAACACGGGGGCAACCCUGGUGGCGAGUGGCGAACGGGUGAGUAAUACAUCGGAACGUGUCCAGUUGUGGGGGAUAACCAGUCGAAAGAUUGGCUAAUACCGCAUGCGCCCGAAAGGGGGAAAGCGGGGGACCCGUAAGGGCCUCGCGCGAUUGGAGCGGCCGAUGUCCGAUUAGCUAGUUGGUGAGGUAACGGCUCACCAAGGCGACGAUCGGUAGCUGGUCUGAGAGGACGACCAGCCACACUGGGACUGAGACACGGCCCAGACUCCUACGGGAGGCAGCAGUGGGGAAUUUGGACAAGUGGGGGCAACCCGUGAUCCAGCCAUCGCCGCGUGUGUGAUGAAGGUCCUUCGGGUUGUAAAGCACUUUCGGACGGAACGAAUCGCGCGGCGAAUACGUCCCGCGUGGAUGACGGUACCGUAAAGAAGAAGCGACCGACUAACGUACGUGCCAGCA